UUGGCCGCUGCGCCUCCUCCAGAGGCAUGCUGGGAGCCUGGAGGACUAGCGAGGAGGAGUUGAGAGAACGGAGCGGACGCCAUGGCGGCCGACAUCGAGCAGGUUUUUAGGUCUUUCGUGGUCAGUAAAUUCCGGGAAAUACAACAGGAGCUUUCCAGCGGAAGGAGUGAAGGCCAGCUGAAUGGGGAAACAAACGCACCUAUUGAAGGAAGCCAGGCAGGUGACACAGCCGCCUCGACGCGGAGUCUCCCAAACGAAGAGAUCGUGCAGAAGAUAGAGGAAGUCCUUUCUGGGGUCCUAGACACAGAACUGCGAUACAAGCCAGACUUGAAGGAGGCCUCCAGAAAAAGUAGAUGUGUGUCUGUACAAACAGAUCCUACUGAUGAAGUUCCCACCAAAAAGUCAAAGAAGCAUAAAAAGCACAAAAACAAAAAGAAGAAAAAGAAGAAAGAAAAGGAAAAAAAAUACAAAAGGCAACCAGAAGAACCUGAGUCCAAGUUGAAAUCUCAUCACGAUGGGAGUGUUGAUCUAGAAUCUGAUUCCUUUUUAAAGUUUGAUUCUGAAUCUUCAGCAAUGGCACUGGAACAUCCUGUAAGAGCAUUUGGCUUUUCUGAGGCCAGUGAAACCCCUCUAGUGCUGGAACCUCCAGUAGGAUCGGUGGAGGUUCAGGAGUCACAUAUGUUAGAGACUCCAAAGCCUGCUCCCCAGCCUGCAGAACUGUCCUUUGGAUCUGCACCAGUCAUCUCAGAGCAGUCUGAGCAGCCUGAGUCAGUAAUGAUGGAACCGUCCCCAACCAAGAUUCUGGAUUCCUUUGCAGCUGCAGCAGCGCUGAAGUCACCUGAGCCCGUUGUAACAAUGUCAGUGGAGUAUCAGAAGUCUGUGCUCAAGUCUUCUUGGGAGACUACGGCUCCAGAGCUAUCAAAGACCACGCCGGUAGAGCUUCCCGUAGCAAAAGUGCUUGAGCCGUCAGAAACCCUCAUGAUAGUAUCAGAGACACCCCCUGAGGUGCACCCUGAACCAAGCACAUCAACAAUGGAUUUUCCAGAGUCAUCUACAACUGAUGCACUAAGAUUGCCAGAGCAGCCUGCAGAAGCACCAUCGGAGAUGGCAGAUUCAUCCUUGACAAGACCUCAGGAGUCACUGGAGCUGCCGAAGAGCACAGCGGUGGAGCUGCAGGAGUCGUCGGUGGCCUCAGCCCUGGAGUUGCCGGGGCCACCUGCGACCUCCAUGCUGGAGUUGCAGGGGCCCCCUGCGACUCCAGUGCUGGAGUUGCCUGGGCCCUCUGCCGCCCCAGUGCCAGAGUUGUCAGGGCCCCUUUCUACCCCAGUGCCUGAGUUGCCAGGGCCCCCUGCCACAGUAGUGCCUGAGUUGCCGGGGCCCUCUGUGACACCAGUGCCACCAUUGUUGCAGGAAUUGCCAGGGCCUCCAGCGCCAUCCGUGGGGUUGGAGCCACCACAGGAGGUACCAGAGCCACCUGUGAUGGCACAGGAGAUGCCAGGGGUGCCUGCAGUUUCAGCGGCAGUAGAAUUGACAGGGCAACCUGCAGUAACAGUAGCAAUGGAGUUGACCGAACAACCUGUGACGACGACAGAGUUCGAGCAUCCUGUGGCGAUGACGACGGUGGAACAUCCUGGGCAUCCUGAGGUGACAACAGCGACAGGGUUGCUGGGGCAGCCGGAGGCAGCGAUGGUGCUGGAGUUGCCAGGACAGCCAGUGGCAACCACAGCUCUGGAGUUGUCUGGGCAGCCUUCAGUGACUGGGGUGUCAGAGUUGUCAGGGCUGCCUUCGGCAACUGGGGCACUGGAGUUGUCAGGGCAGCCCGUGGCAACUGGGGCACUGGAGUUGCCUGGGCAGCUUAUGGCAACUGGGGCACUGGAGUUCUCGGGGCAGUCUGGGGCAGCUGGAGCACUGGAGCUUUUGGGGCAGCCCCUGGCAACAGGGGUGCUGGAGUUACCAGGGCAGCCUGGGGCGCCAGAGUUGCCUGGGCAGCCCGUGGCAACUGUGGCGCUGGAGAUCUCUGUUCAGUCCGUGGUGACAACAUCGGAGCUGUCAACGAUGACCGUGUCGCAGUCUCUGGAGGUGCCCUCGACGACAGCGCUGGAAUCCUAUAAUACGGUAGCACAGGAGCUGCCUACUACACUGGUGGGGGAGACUUCUGUAACAGUAGGAGUGGAUCCCUUGAUGGCCCAAGAAUCCCAUAUGUUAGCUUCUAACACCAUGGAGAGCCAUAUGUUAGCAUCCAACACCAUGGACUCCCAAAUGCUAGCAUCCAACACUAUGGAUUCUCAGAUGCUAGCAUCCAAUACCAUGGAUUCCCAGAUGUUAGCGUCUAGCACCAUGGACUCCCAGAUGUUAGCCUCUAGCACUAUGGACUCCCAGAUGUUAGCAACUAGCUCCAUGGACUCCCAGAUGUUAGCGACUAGUUCCAUGGACUCCCAAAUGUUAGCAACCAGCUCUAUGGACUCCCAGAUGUUAGCAACCAGCUCUAUGGACUCCCAGAUGUUAGCAACCAGCAGUAUGGACUCCCAGAUGUUAGCAACCAGCUCCAUGGACUCCCAGAUGUUAGCAACCAGCUCCAUGGACUCCCAGAUGUUAGCAACCAGCAGUAUGGACUCCCAGAUGUUAGCCACCAGUUCCAUGGACUCCCAGAUGUUAGCAUCUGGUGCUAUGGAUUCUCAAAUGCUAGCUUCUGGCACCAUGGAUGCUCAGAUGUUAGCAUCUGGUACUAUGGAUGCCCAAAUGUUAGCAUCUAGUACCCAAGAUUCUGCUAUGAUGGGUUCAAAAUCUCCUGAUCCUUAUAGGUUAGCUCAGGAUCCUUACAGAUUAGCUCAGGAUCCCUAUAGGUUGGGUCAUGACCCCUAUAGGUUAGGCCAUGAUGCUUAUAGGUUAGGACAGGACCCCUAUAGAUUAGGCCAUGAUCCCUACAGACUAACUCCUGAUCCCUAUAGGAUGUCACCUAGACCCUACAGAAUAGCACCCAGGUCCUAUAGAAUAGCACCUAGGCCAUACAGGUUAGCACCUAGACCCUUGAUGUUAGCAUCUAGACGCUCUAUGAUGAUGUCCUAUGCUGCAGAACGUUCCAUGAUGUCAUCUUAUGAGCGCUCUAUGAUGUCUUAUGAACGCUCUAUGAUGUCUCCGAUGGCUGAACGCUCAAUGAUGUCAGCCUAUGAGCGCUCUAUGAUGUCAGCUUACGAGCGCUCCAUGAUGUCACCUAUGGCUGAGCGUUCUAUGAUGUCAGCUUAUGAACGCUCUAUGAUGUCAGCUUACGAGCGCUCCAUGAUGUCCCCUAUGGCUGAUCGAUCUAUGAUGUCCAUGGGUGCCGACCGGUCUAUGAUGUCAUCGUACUCUGCAGCUGACCGGUCUAUGAUGUCAUCGUACUCUGCAGCUGACCGAUCUAUGAUGUCAUCUUACACUGAUCGAUCAAUGAUGUCUAUGGCAGCUGAUUCUUAUACUGAUUCUUACACUGACUCCUAUACGGAGGCAUAUAUGGUGCCUCCUUUGCCUCCUGAAGAGCCCCCAACAAUGCCACCAUUGCCACCUGAGGAACCACCAAUGACACCACCAUUGCCUCCUGAGGAACCACCAGAGGGUUCAGCAUUAUCUGCCGAGCAAUCGGUAUUAACAGCUGACAAUACUUGGCCUACAGAGGUAACAUUACCUACUGAAGAAUCUGUAGCACAGCCUGAGCCUCCUGUGAGUCAAAGUGAGAUUUCAGAGCCUUUGGCAGUACCUGCUAGUUAUUCAGUGUCAGAAUCAGAGACUUCAAUGUUAGCAUCAGAGGCUGUUAUGACUGUUGCAGAACCUGCACAAGAGCCAGAAUCUUCAGUCCUAUCAGCACCAGUUGAGUCUGCUGUAGUAGCAGAACAUGAAAUGGUUACAGAGAGACCAGUGACUUACAUGGUUUCUGAGGCUACCAUGUCAGCUGAACCAGCUGUGUUAUCAGAGCCUUCUGCUAUGUCGGAGACAUCAGAAACAUACGAUUCCAUGCGGCCAUCAGGACAUGCUAUAGCGGAGGUGUCUAUGUCCCUCCUGGAGCCAGCAGUAACCAUUUCACAGCCAGCAGAGAGCAGUCUGGAGCUGCAAUCCAUGGCUGUCCCAGCACCUCCCACUAUGACUGCCCCAGAAUCUCCUGCUGUUGCCGUCCCAGAACUUCCUCCUGUGGCUGACCCAGAACCUCCCGUUAUGGUUGUUCCAGAAACCCCCACUGUGGCUGUUCCAGAACUUGCUGCUGUGGCUGCCCCAGAGCCUCCUGCUAUGACUACUCCAGAGCUUUCCUCCAUGCCUGUCUCAGAACCUCCUGUGGCUGUCCCGGAGCUCCCAGCUUUGGCUGACCCAGAGCAUGCUACAACUGCAGGGUCAGGUGUUUCUUCCCUGGAGCCUUCUGUGCCUGUCUUGGAACCAGCAGUAUCAGUCCUUCAACCUGUUAUGGUUGUUUCAGAACCAUGUGUUCCUGUCCAGGAACCUACUGUGGCAAUUUCAGAACCUGCUGUCACAGUUUUGGAGCAUACUCAAAUAAUAUCACCUGAGAUGGCUUUAGAGUCUUCACCAACAGUAGUGGAGUCCAGUGUACUGUCAUCACAUGUUAUGAAAGGAAUGAAUUUACUUUCUGGGGAUCCAAGUCUUGGUCCAGAGGUUGGCGUGCAGGAGAUUAUGUUGCAUGCAGGUGAAGAGCCACAUGAUGGAGGACACUUGAAAAAUGACUUGUAUGAAAAUGAAUAUGAUAGAAAUGCAGAACUUGCUAUAAACAGUCAUUUCAUUGCUAAAGAUGUGGAGCAUAAUACAGUGUGUGCUGCUGCCAUUGGUCCUGUUGGUGAAACAAGUGAAGAGAAAGUUUUGCCCGUCAUCGAGACAAAGGAAGUCACAGAAUUGGAUACCUGUCCUGCUGUUAGUGAAGCUGAUGUAGGAAGAAGUCUGUCUUCCCAACUUGCUCUGGAACCAGACACAAUGGGAACUAAUAAGGGGUUGGAAUUUGUCACAGCGUCUGUUCCCAGUUUAGAUAGUAAAUAUGAUGUUGAAAUAUCUUUAACUACUCAAGAUACUGAACAUGACAUGGUGAUUUCCACCAGCCCCAGUGGUGGCAGUGAAGCUGACAUAGAGGGACCUUUGCCUGCUAAAGACAUUCACCUUGAUUUGCCAUCUACAAAUCUUGUUUGUAAGGAUACAGAAGACUCGUUACCUAUAAAAGACAGUGACCAGACAGUAGCAGUUGCUCCUAGCCCUAAAGAAAGCAGUGAAGAUAAAGAAGUACCUCUUCCCAAUAAAGAAACAGUUCCUGAUUCAGUAUAUCCUGCCAGCAUUGAUGAGAUUAAUGAAGCUGACUUAGUGAGACCAUUACUUCCUAAGGACAUGGAACGUCUUACAAGCCUUAGAGCUGGCAUUGAAGGACCUUUACUUGCAAGUGAAAGUGAACGGGACAAAUUGGCUGCCAGUCCAGUUGUAAUUAGUAUACCAGAAAGAGCUUCAGAGUCUUCUUCAGAGGAAAAGGAUGAUUAUGAAAUUUUUGUAAAAGUUAAGGACACACAUGAAAAAAGCAAGAAAAAUAAAAACCGUGACAAAGGUGAAAAAGAGAAGAAAAGGGACUCUUCAUUAAGGUCUCGGAGUAAGCGUUCCAAGUCUUCUGAACAUAAGUCACGCAAGCGUACCAGUGAGUCUCGUUCUAGAGCAAGGAAGAGGUCAUCUAAGUCCAAGUCUCAUCGUUCUCAGACACGUUCACGGUCACGUUCAAGACGCAGGAGAAGGAGUAGCAGAUCAAGAUCUAAGUCUAGAGGACGACGGUCUGUAUCAAAAGAGAAGCGCAAGAGAUCUCCAAAGCACAGAUCCAAGUCCAGAGAAAGGAAGAGGAAAAGAUCAAGUUCCCGGGACAACCGGAAAACAGUUCGAGCUCGGAGUCGAACUCCAAGUCGGCGGAGUAGGAGUCACACUCCUAGUCGGCGGAGAAGGUCUAGAUCUGUUGGUAGAAGGAGGAGUUUCAGCAUUUCCCCGAGCCGCAGGAGCCGCACCCCCAGCCGCAGGAGCCGUACCCCCAGCCGCAGGAGCCGCACCCCCAGCCGCAGGAGCCGAACCCCAAGCCGCAGGAGCCGAACCCCGAGCCGCAGGAGCCGAACUCCGAGCCGCAGGAGAAGAUCAAGAUCUGUGGUAAGAAGACGAAGCUUCAGUAUAUCGCCAGUCAGAUUAAGGCGAUCAAGAACACCUUUGAGAAGAAGGUUUAGUAGAUCUCCCAUUCGUCGUAAAAGAUCCAGGUCUUCUGAAAGAGGCAGAUCACCCAAACGUCUAACAGAUUUGGAUAAGGCUCAAUUACUUGAAAUAGCCAAAGCUAAUGCAGCUGCCAUGUGUGCUAAGGCUGGUGUUCCUUUACCACCAAACCUAAAGCCUGCACCUCCACCUACAAUAGAAGAGAAAGUUGCUAAAAAGUCUGGAGGAGCUACCAUAGAAGAACUAACUGAGAAAUGCAAACAGAUUGCACAGAGUAAAGAAGAUGAUGAUGUAAUAGUGAAUAAACCUCAUGUUUCGGAUGAAGAGGAAGAAGAACCUCCUUUUUAUCAUCAUCCCUUUAAACUCAGUGAACCCAAGCCCAUUUUUUUCAAUCUGAAUAUUGCUGCAGCAAAGCCAACUCCACCAAAGAGCCAAGUAACAUUAACAAAGGAAUUUCCUGUGUCAUCUGGAUCUCAGCAUCGGAAAAAAGAAGCCGAUAGUGUUUAUGGAGAGUGGGUUCCUGUAGAGAAAAACGGCGAAGAAAACAAAGAUGAUGAUAAUGUGUUCAGCAGCAGCUUGCCCUCAGAGCCUGUGGACAUCUCAACAGCAAUGAGCGAACGGGCACUUGCUCAGAAGAGACUCAGUGAGAAUGCAUUUGACCUUGAAGCCAUGAGUAUGUUAAAUCGAGCUCAAGAACGGAUUGAUGCCUGGGCUCAGUUGAACUCUAUCCCUGGGCAGUUCACAGGAAGUACGGGAGUGCAAGUCCUGACACAGGAACAGCUGGCUAAUACUGGUGCCCAAGCCUGGAUUAAAAAGGAUGGACACUGAAGAUGGGCUGAAAUCCUGACACGAUACCAAAUGCAUACAUUCGGCUCAGUAGACACUCAUUUUAUAUCUGGAGGCUCAAUUUGAGAACCACUGACUUCAUGAAAAAACAGGAUAUAUAAGACCUAAAAUGAAAGGAGAGGACGGACAUCUCAUGCUACGAAGAUGUAGGUGCACCGGAUCUCAGACUCCUGAAAUGAGAUUUGUCAACUCUACCUACGGCUACCUCAUUGUUGGGGGAGUCUUAGGUGGUUAAAAGGGGGCUUUGUGAAGACAUGACAUCUGGUGAAGGGCUGUGGUUUGGUUGGAUGGGUGAUGAGAAAUUUGUUUCAGGAGUACUGGCAACAGCAGUGCUGAACUGGGAGGCUGCGUGGUCUCUUGGAUGGGGAAGGUUUCUUUGUCCUGCUGUACUCCUGACUCCUUGUGUGAUCAUGGGCAAGUAAUUCCUUGGAAUUUCUGUCUCCCAAGUGUCACGUGGUGUGGGAGACAGGAUCAUAUCAAAGCCUCAGACAGUGGUAAUCAGUGCUGUGAUGGGUACCUAUUACCUGUAGAAUUGGAAUGAGUGCUAGUCAUGGGUGAGGUGGGUUUUUCAAAAAAUAAAAUUUUGGGUGCUUUGAACAGUUUUAUAGCAAGCAUUACCUGUGAUUCUCUUAUUAACAAAUUAAUGUAAGGUAUCACACAUCUUCAUAGUUGAAUGAGUAUGUACCUAGGCAUUGGUUUUGGAAAAAAGGGAUAAGCUAGCAGUAUUUUUAAUGAUUGCACUCAUUUUAUAUAGUAAUACUUUGUAUAAAUUAUAAAAUAGUUAAAAAAUAGCUGUCAUCUUAGUAGGAAGGAUUAUGUGUUUACUUUAUUGGGACAUUGGACAUUAAGCAAGUUGUCCAGAGCCACAUGUUCAGUCCUGCUUCAUUCAUCUGUCUUGAAGCUGAGUGCUUGGGAUUGCAGGAAGUUAGACAUGAAGUGUUUUUGAAUGUUUAUACUUGUAAUAGUUCAUGUGCGUUGCCAGGUAGAAGCUUCUGGAAGGUUUUCCACUGCUGCUCUGUGUUUAUGUAUAAAGAGCAGAUAAACAUAAGUGAAUUUCCAAGGUGAGUCUUCACUUAGUCAAGUGGCUCCCUAUGUACUUAAGUAGUUAAUGUUUACUAGAACCUUUAAAAUGAUUUUGCUAUACAUUUUUUAUAGAAUAUAAUCUGGGAAGCAAAUUAUUUUGAUAAGUUAUGUGUUCAUCAGACUAAGCUUUACUUUAUAGAAGAAAUCAACACUCAUAGGAAAAUGAUCUUAUGUAACGAAUUGCUGGAGAAUAUCUGCUUAAUGAAAACCAGAGGAGCAUUAUUUUAUUCAGGUAGAUAGGUCGGUACAUUUAGAAGUCAUUUGGCAACUGAAAAUGUCAUUGGUAUUUAUCAUAAGUACUACCUAUACCCAUUAAUUCUGUUUGGGAAAUAUGGAAAUGGCCAUUUGGCUUUUUUUGGCCCAGCACUGUCCUGUAUUAAAAACCAUAGGGAAACACCAACCAAUACCCUCUCUGUUCUUUAGUUUGUUUUAGAAUACUUUUAGAUUAAGAGGAAUAUUUCAUUGGUACACUCAUUUAUCAGUAAAACAUUUAAAAGUUAACUGAUUUUAAAGGGCCUUUAUUUUCUCAAAUGAUUUGGGAUUUGAUUUUAUAAAAAUGUUGGUUAUUGUGGUCUCACUGGAUUAAGACAGGUUUUUACACUGGAUAAAGAGGUAGAUGCUAAUAUAAUAGCAAACAGGAUUGGAAAACUGGGCUACUUGGGGAUUUAUAUUGUACUCUGUCUGUACAGUUGCCCUUUUUUUUAGGAGUGUUUCCUGGAAAAGAGGGGGAGAUGAACCUGGAAGUAAGUAAAGUCACUCUAGGUGUGUAGCAUCAAGGCAGUUGAUACCCAAGCAUCAGCUAACUUUUCUCUUUAUACAUCCACAAUGCAUGGCCUGCACCAAAUAAGGAACUGAACCAGGGGUAUGUUUUUACCUCCACAGCUGCCUCCUUCCAUCAGAGCACCUUGUUGAACUUAAUGUCUAGUCACAUGUCACUGGAUUGUUUUCUCCCCAACAUUUAAUUAUAAAGCUGGGAAACAGAGCUUAUAUAUAUAUAUAUUUUACUGCAGUGUCAAAACACCACUUCUAAGUAUUAACUUACUGAUAGAAGGAAAAGUAAUGCAUACUUGCUUGCUAAGUUACCAAACAUUUGACUUUCUGUAAUGACAUGGUAUAUAUUUGGCAGAGAACAUUAGCCUAAAAUGUUGUAAUAAUUGGAAAUAAAACAUGGUUUAGAGAUGCUUCAAUUAAAAAGGAAAAAAAAAAAACCCACAAAGAUCAACAGCAGAAUUCAUAGUGCAUUGAUACCUUUUUAAAGAGGCACUGGA